rnacentral:rRNA from 1 species
GACGAACGCUGGCGGCGUGCCUAAUACAUGCAAGUUGAGCGCUGAAGGUUGGUACUUGUACCCACUGGAUGAGCAGCGAACGGGUGAGUAACGCGUGGGGAAUCUGCCUUUGAGCGGGGGACAACAUUUGGAAACGAAUGCUAAUACCGCAUAAAAACUUUAAACACAAGUUUUAAGUUUGAAAGAUGCAAUUGCAUCACUCAAAGAUGAUCCCGCGUUGUAUUAGCUAGUUGGUGAGGUAAAGGCUCACCAAGGCGAUGAUACGUAGCCGACCUGAGAGGGUGAUCGGCCACAUUGGGACUGAGACACGGCCCAAACUCCUACGGGAGGCAGCAGUAGGGAAUCUUCGGCAAUAGACGAAAGUCUGACCGAGCAACGCCGCGUGAGUGAAGAAGGUUUUCGGAUCGUAAAACUCUGUUGGUAGAGAAGAACGUUGGUGAGAGUGGAAAGCUCAUCAAGUGACGGUAACUACACAGAAAGGGACGGCUAACUACGUG